rnacentral:rRNA from 1 species
AUUGAACGCUGGCGGAAUGCUCUACACAUGCAAGUCGAACGGUAGAGGGGGCGACCCCUUGAGAGUGGCGAACGGGUGAGUAAUAUAUCGGAACGUGCCCAGUCGUGGGGGAUAACGUAGCGAAAGUUACGCUAAUACCGCAUACGAUCUAAGGAUGAAAGCGGGGGACCGUAAGGCCUCGCGCGAUUGGAGCGGCCGAUAUCAGAUUAGGUAGUUGGUGAGGUAAAGGCUCACCAAGCCAACGAUCUGUAGCUGGUCUGAGAGGACGACCAGCCAGACUGGAACUGAGACACGGUCCAGACUCCUACGGGAGGCAGCAGUGGGGAAUUUUGGACAAUGGACGCAAGUCUGAUCCAGCCAUUCCGCGUGCAGGAUGAAGGCCCUCGGGUUGUAAACUGCUUUUGUACGGAACGAAAAGGUCUCUCCUAAUACGAGGGGCUCAUGACGGUACCGUAAGAAUAAGCACCGGCUAACUACGUGCCAGCCGCCGCCGUAA